GACGAACCGAGCGAACGUUGUUCGGAAUCACUGGGCUUAAAGGGCGCGUAGGCGGACUAUCAAGUCUGGGGUGAAAUCCCGCGGCUCAACCGUGGAACUGCCUCAGAUACUGACGGUCUCGAGGGAGGUAGGGGCAUGCGGAACUGUAGGUGGAGCGGUGAAAUGCGUUGAUAUCUACAGGAACUCCGGUGGCGAAAGCGAACUGCUGGACCUCUUCUGACGCUGAUGCGCGAAAGCUAGGGGAGCAAACGGG
rnacentral:rRNA from 1 species